GACGAACGCUGGCGGCGCGCUUAACACAUGCAAGUCGAACGGAAAGGCCUGCUUUCCCUUGUGGAUUGCGGGUACUCGAGUGGCGAACGGGUGAGUAACACGUGAGUGAUCUGCCCCCAACUUGGGUAUAAGCCUGGGAAACUGGGUCUAAUUCCCGAUAGGACUGCAGGGUGGUGCCUGUGGUGGAAAACGAUUUUCUAGUGGUUGGGGAUGGGCUCGCGGCCUAUCAGCUUGUUGGUGGGGUAAUGGCCUACCAAGGCGGCGACGGGUAGCCGGCCUGAGAGGGUGGACGGCCACAUUGGGACUGAGAUACGGCCCAGACUCCUACGGGAGGCAGCAGUGGGGAAGAUUGCACAAGGGGCGGAAGCCUGAUGCAGCGACGCCGCGGGGGGGAUGACGGCCUUCGGGUUGUAAACUCCUUUCGACCGCGAGGAAGCCACCUGGUUGGAAGGGUGGUGACGGUAGUGGGAGAAGAAGCACCGGCUAACUACGUG
rnacentral:rRNA from 1 species